GACGAACGCUGGCGGCGUGCUUAACACAUGCAAGUCGAGCGGUAAGGCCCUUUCGGGGGUACACGAGCGGCGAACGGGUGAGUAACACGUGGGUGACCUGCCCUCAGCUCUGGGAUAAGCCCGGGAAACUGGGUCUAAUACUGGAUAUGACUCCAUGACGCAUGUUGUGGGGUGGAAAGCCUUGUGCGGCUGAGGAUGGGCCCGCGGCCUAUCAGCUUGUUGGGGGGUGAUGGCCUACCAAGGCGACGACGGGUAGCCGGCCUGAGAGGGCGACCGGCCACACUGGGACUGAGACACGGCCCAGACUCCUACGGGAGGCAGCAGUGGGGAAUCUUGCGCAAUGGGCGAAAGCCUGACGCAGCGACGCCG
rnacentral:rRNA from 1 species